CCUUUUUAUUUUAUUAUGCAGGUGAUGAAGAUAAGGUUUAAGGGGAACAGAAAAGGAAUCUGAAUAGCCCAGAGUCACUCAUAUGAUAUAAUAUCACAUUUAUUUAUUAUUUAUGGUCAUUGCUCUUAUCUUUUGCCCCAGUUUUUCUUAUCCAUAAUUUUUACACAACAAUUUCUAAUUCUCAUCUGCAUAGAUAGAUAACUAUUUUUUUUUGUGUUAUCAUCAGCAGUAGCAUACUUAUAUAUAACUGCAUUGUGGAUCAUUGGAAUGAGCCAAGAAUAUAUGAUGAUGGUCAUAAAAAUGGAGUCUUUUUUCAACCCGGAAAAUAAGAAUGGGAUAAUGUAUGAAGAAAAAUUUCAAGAUUCUGUUUCAUGAACCUCAAGUAGUACUCUUGAAUCUUCAGAAUCUGAUUUGUUUGAAGAAGUAAACUCAUCUGAUCAGCAUCCAAAUGCAAAUGGCCCUUUACAAGACGUCUUCUUUGAUACAACAACUGCCCAUCAAGUAAGUUAUUGUUGUUCAUUUGAGUAAAAGUUUACUUAUAAGUAAAUAUGUUAAUUGAAUGGUUUUUGGUUUGCAGAAGAGGGCUUUCCGAACAUUACAGUGGCAAAUCACAAUCUUUUACUUCUUUAUCAAACAUGAGGUGCUUAGGCCACACCAAAUUUAAAGUAAGUUAUGUACUAUUUUGCACCAAACUGAGAUUCAUCUUAUAAUCAAUGCAUCAAAAAGAAGUUGAACUAAAAUGUUGGUUUAAUUAAUUAUUUUUACAAUGGUAGACCAUUUCGAGUAUAUUCUAUUAGCUAGAUAAUAAUUAUCUUAUUUUUCUUGAAUGACGAAUUGAGUCGACGGAGCAAUACCAAGUGAUGUUCGUGAAAAGAUGGAAUCUUUCCAAAACAUUGAUAUAAUUGUUUGAACUUGAAAGUCUAAAAUAUGCAUGCAAUAUCAUUUGAUGACUCUAUGACCGGGAAUGGAGCCUGUAUGUGCUCAUUGGUUAAUAUAUCGAUUGGCUUACUGAGCAAUAAGGAGGUUGUUGUUCAAACAUAUGAGAGUUAUCUAGGAUAUUUGUACUAAAUCAUCUUCACCUCUAGAUUGGAUUUCAUCAAAAUUUCAACCAUUCAACCUAUGCUACAAAUCUUAUAUUGUAGAUAGGAUAUUUGGGAUAAACCAUCUUCAACAUUAUAUUAGAUUUCAUAAAGAUCUCAACCGUUCAAUCUAUACCGACAAAUCUUAUUUCAUCUAUCAUUUUUCUAUAAAAUAUCACACCAUAAUCAUUGGAUCUAACAUUUAUUUUUUUUCGAAAUUUUACCUUCACUUUCUCAAUAAUUCCCUAACAACAAGUUCUGUUCUACGAAGUUCUUCAUACUCACAUAAAAAAGACGUACACAUAUGUUGAGUCUACCUUGAUAUAUCCAAAUGUGCAAUUAUUAUUAUAAACUAGUAAAUGGACCAAUUUUGGUCUCGAAGAGAGCGUGAAUACGACGAGAAACUUCCUUCAUUUAUCGAUCUUACUUGAUCUAAAAGAUCCCAAAUGAAGUAAAUGCAAGUUAUUAACAUUGUAGUUAGUAAAAUGUAGGGAUAUAUUUGACAAGUGAAACUUCUGAAUUCAAGUGGUGCUCAAAUGAAGAUAUUGUGAGGAUUAUUCGCAAUAUUUGCUAACAAAUAUUAAGUUCAAUACAUAAUUUUGUAUAAUUUAUUUUUUAUAGCAAAUAUAUUCAUCCAAAUUGUGCUUCAGAUGAACAUAUUUUAAAUGUUAAUUUUACUUAUAGAAACAUUUAAAAUUAUUGAACCAUUUCAGAAAAAAGCUAAAAAAUAAAUUAUACAAAUUAUGUCAUUUAGAAGUAGUAGAGAAAUUAUGUAUUGAACUUAACAUUUGUUAGCAAACAUUACGAAUGAUACUUACAAUAUCUUUAUCUGAGGCACCACUUGGAUUUAGAAGUUCCACUUGUCGAACACAUCCUUAUAUUUUAUUAACUGCAAUGUUAAUAACUUGCAUUCACUUCAUUAGGGAUCUUUUAGGUCGAGUAAAACUGAUAAAUGAAGAAAGUGUGUCGUUGUAUUCACUUUCCACUCGAGAUCAGAAUUGGUCCCUUGGCUGGUCUGUAACUAUAAUUGCAUUUUUAGAGAUAUGAAGGUAGACUCGACAUAAGUAUAUGCCUUCUCAUUUGAGUAUAAAGAAUUUUAUAAAACAGAACUCGUUGUUAAGAUAUUAUUGAGAAAGUGAAGUUAAAACUUGGAAGAAAUUGAAGGUGAAUUCCAAUGAAGUAUGGUGUGAUAUUUUGAUAGAAGAAAGGAUAGACGGGAUAAGAUUUAUAGGAUGAUUGAAUAGUUGAGAUCUUUAAGAAAUCCAAUUUAAUUGUGGAGAUGGUUUAGCCUAAGUAUCCUAUCUUCAAUAUGGCACGAUAAGAUUUAUGGUCAUUGAAUGGUUGAGAUCUUGAUGAAAUCCAAUCGAAAUGUGAAGAUAGUUUAGCCUAGAUAUCGUAUCUUGAAUAUGGUAGGAUAAGAUUUGUAGGUAUAGAUUGAACGAUAAAGAUCUUGAUGAAAUCCAAUCUAAUAUUGGAGAUAGUUUAGCUCACAUAUCCUAUCUUGAACAUGACAAGAUAAGAUUUAUGUGCAUAGACCAAACGGUUGAGAUCUUGAUGAAAUUCAAUCUAAUGGUUAGUCAAGAAUCCUACGUGACAAGUAAAAUUUGUGUACAUAGAUUGAACAGUUGAAAUCUUAAUAAAAUUCAAUCUAACAUUGGAGAUUGUUUAGUCCAGAUAUUGUAUCUAAAGGUGGACCAAGUAUUCAGCAACAAUAAAAGACAGUAUUGAACUGUGGUAAUGCUCCAAUAAUGAUAUCAGUGUUUUAAAGAGAUCACAUCUUUUUACAAACAUCGCUCUCAAAGUAUUGCUUCGCUAGCUCAAUACAGCCUUCAAGAAAAACAAUAUAACAUAGGUUAUUAUGUAGAUGAUAAUAUAUGCCUGAAAUGGUUUACCAUUGCACAAAUGAUUUAUAAGCCACAAGCUCCCCCCAAAAUUAUUUGCAAUAAAACAAGAAGCAUGUAAAAAAGAUGUUGAGCGUGCAUUUAACGUUUUAGAAUCGAAGUUUGCAAUUAUGAAAUGACUACAGGUUUUUGAAAAAAAAAAAUAUGUAUUACAUGAUAUAAUGACUACAAUCAUUAUUAUGCAUAAUAUGAGAAUCAAGGACAAACGACAAACAUGAUCUUGAUACACCAGUUCAAGUUUGGAUGAAGAGUCAAUUCUAAAAGUUUAUUUGCUAGAAGAUGAAAAUUAUCGCUUUCGAGAAUUCCUUACUUGUCAUAGACAAUUCAAGGAUAGGGAAGCUCACAUUUCACUUCAAAAAUGCAUCAAUUGAUUAUUUGUGGGAUGAAUAUACGAAUUUCGAGAAUUAAAUGACAAUACUAGUUCGACUUAAUAAUAUCAUGAUAUCAGAAUUCAAAAAUGUAUUACACUUUUGGAUAUUAUAAUUUAAUAUUUCUUAGUUGUGGCAUUUGUAUUAAUUGCUCUACAUUUUUUUAUAUCUACUAAUAAUUCAAUAUUUUUCAUAAGUAAACGUAAUUAUUUAUUUAGUAAUUUAUGUAGUAAUAAAAUAAAUAGAUGAAUAAUUUUUUAAUUAAAUAAAUUGCUAAGAAUUAAAAUCAAAAAUAAAAAAAUGAUGAAACACUACUCUUUUGGUGUAUUGGAUUGGAGAUGAUUUUACAGUAUGGUACAAAAUGAUGCAAAACUUACCUCAAGUUUUGUUGUAGCAUUUGAGGUGGCCUAAGAACAAACUUCUUGUUUACAAUCUAUACCAUCUGCCGGCAAAUUUUAGAAAGUAAUAAAAAUGCAAUUUUUCAAAUUUUGCCUUUAACUUCCUCAAUUGUUAAUAAUUAAAUUAUCAGAUUUUGAACCAUAUUUAAUUAUAUUACCAAUAAAUCCUUUUCCAACCAGUGUUUACGAUAUUCCAAAAACAAAUUGAUAAAACAAAUUGUGUCUCAUGCAUUAAAGGUAAUUGAUUUAAUUUAGGUAUUUUUCUAUCGUAUCAGCUUUCCUUUUAUUUUGUAAUUUUAUAAAUUUGAGAUUCAACAGAUAUUUUUAUUUUUCAUUAUAAAAGAAUUAUAAUGAAUACAUUAUUUUAGAAAAAUCCUUGACAAUAUUAUAAUAAUAUGAUGAUGAUGAUGAUAAUGAUAAUGAUGCAAAAUGACGUCAUUAUAUUGAAUGUCAAACUUGUUAAUUGUAUAUCGGUAAUAAAUUAUUUUUGUAUACCAAUCACUAAAAUGCUUAUAUUGAGUUAAAAUUUCACCAACCAACUAAAAGAAUAAAAUUCUUUCACUUUCUUUUUGUCACUUCGUCAAUGCUUAAAAAAAAAAAAAAGAAAAAAAAAAGGAUGUGAAUGGUAAUGUACAACAAGCAUUUUUCAUAAAAUAUAUAAAAAAAAUCGGCAAAAAGAAAACGAGAAGAACUUGUAGUGAAGCCCUCUUCAAGCUCGAUGGAGGUUGUCGACUUCUAUUUGGCAUCUUUCUGUUUUUACGUAGAUUAUCAAGAUAAAGAGAACAGAAAAGGAAACUAGAUAAUACCGAGACAAUCGUACAAGAAUUUAUCUAUUUGUAAAGAAUUUUUUAUCCAAAUUGUUUAUAGAUGCAGUGGUGGCGACAGAUAAUUCGUCUCAAUUUCUUCUUCUUUUUCUUUUUGAUUGACCACCCAAUGACAGUGACAUCCAAUCAAAGUGUAUGUAAGUUUUUUUUGUAUAUAUAGCACACUCCAUUAUAUAUCAUAUUCAUUCAUCAUUAUUAUUAUUUAUAGUCCUUGCUCUUACUUUUGCCCCCAUCUUUUCUUAUCCAUAUUAUAAUUGCAUGCUGGAUCAUUUGAAUGAGCCAAGAUUUGAAGAAUAUAUGAUGAACGUCAUAAAAAUGGAUCUUUCUUGAACCCAGAAUACAAGAUGGGAUCAUGGAUGAAGAAAAAUCUCAAGAUUUUGUUGUAAGUAAUUAAACCAUAACACCAAAAUCUUUAGAAUUCAUGAUUUUCACAUAUGAAUUUAAUUAAUCAAGAAACAUACCUUGAUCCAUGGCAAUGAUUGAGAAUUUUAAAUCUGCAAACGAAAAAUUGUUAAAUGAAAGAAACUGUUCUCUCACUUUUCCUCUCUAUAAUUGAAUGAAUUAAUUGAUGAAUUUCACUCACGUUUAUAGGCAGAGAGACGGUUUCUUAUGGGCCAUAAAACUAUUCACUUUCUUCAAAGUGAACGGUUAUUAAACUGCCACUUCUUAAAUAGGCCAAUUGAAUUUAAGAAAUAUAAACCACUUUAAUUAAUUAAUUAAUAAUAUUACGUGGGCCACAAUUAAUUGGUUUACAUUUUCCCACUUGGCCCAUGUAAUAUUGCUCCGUUAUGUGAUUUAUAACAUAAUAUGCAUAUCUUAAGCAAAUCCCUCGUACAUUGGCCCCUUAAUAUAUCAUCCUUAAGUAAAGACUAAUAAGAGUCAUGGCGAUUUUACACCAUCAUAUUGGCAUAGUUCAUUCCAUGUACUACAAUACUAGUCCUUACUUAACAUGAUACGUAAUGAGAAGUUCGAUAAUUACAUUUUAAUAAUGUUUUUAAAAAGACUAUCCCUAUUAUCAUUUACACAAUCUACUAACAAUUAUGAUAGGAAUAGUAUCUUGUCAAAAACAAUACAUAAAUGAACUCAAAGUGUCAAUAUAUGAGCAUCAUAAAUUACAUAAUAAUGUGAAUGAUAAUUUUCAAGAAUGCCAAUUCUCUUAACAUGUUCAUUAAAUGUCUUUGGUAGUAAUCCUUUCAUUAAUGGAUUUGCAAUCAUAAGAUUGGUGCUAAUAUGUUCGAUUGACAUCUUUUGUUUUUGAACUUUUCUUUAAUAGCAAAGUACUUCAAUUCCAUUUGUUUAGCAUCUUUAAAGUAUUUGUCGUUAUUUGAAAAAAAGAUCACUGUAGAAUUAUCAUAAUAAAGUUUCAGCGGCUUGGCUAUACCGCCGACGAUUCCAGGCACUGAAAUAAAGUCUCGCGGCCAAUUUCCUUGAACUGUGGCCUCAAAGCAUGCCAUAAACUCGACUUUCAUUGUAGAUGCAGUAAUAACCGAAUGUUUUGCCCUUUUCCAUGAUAUAGCUCCUCCAGC
rnacentral:lncRNA from 1 species